CCCCCGAUAGCUCAGUUGGUAAGAGCGCUUGUGUGAAGAACAAGAGGGCGUCAGUUCGAUACUGACUUGGGGGA
rnacentral:tRNA from 2 species